AAGACCUUGCGCUUUUGGAGCGGCCGAUGUCUGAUUAGCUAGUUGGUAGGGUAAUGGCCUACCAAAGCUUCGAUCAGUAGCUGGUCUGAGAGGACGACCAGCCACACUGGGACUGAGACACGGCCCAGACUCCUACGGGAGGCAGCAGUGGGGAAUUUUGGACAAUGGGGGCAACCCUGAUCCAGCCAUGCCGCGUGAGUGAAGAAGGCCUUCGGGUUGUAAAGCUCUUUCAGCCGGAACGAAACGGUUACGGUUAAUACCCGUGACUACUGACGGUACCGGAAGAAGAAGCACCGGCUAACUACGUGCCAGCAGCCGCGGUAAUACGUAGGGUGCAAGCGUUAAUCGGAAUUACUGGGCGUAAAGCGUGCGCAGGUGGUUUUGUAAGUCAGAUGUGAAAUCCCCGGGCUUAACCUGGGAACU
rnacentral:rRNA from 1 species